GAGAUUGUUCGCGAGUCUCUUCCUCCACCACCAGCAACCACCCCCACUUGACGUUGGUUGGCCGGUCAGGUGAAGAGUGUGCGCGAGUUGAGCCAAAGUGGCUCGUUACCACCACCACCACGUUUGCACGGACAGUAGCGGCACGGUAAACGAUCGCGGAGGUUGCCGGACGCGUUGCUCGUACGUGCACCGUAUUUCCGCCCGCCGGCUUGCCGUCCGUUCUUUGCUUAGUCGAUCCGUUGGUCCGUUGGUCCGUUCGUUGUUCCCGGUAGCGGCAGUGGUAGAGUACACGUGGUCGCAGGUCUCGCGAUAGUCGCGAUACUCGGCCCGUGAGUCGCGGGCGGCACGACCUCGUCGUCGUCGAACGGGCGCCCUCGAGGCACGAGGGCAUCGGCCGAAAGGAGGGAAGGCAAGAGGCCUUCCGCGCUCCUCGAGGAUGCCGCCGCUUCCUCGUCGUCGCCGGCGACGUGGAUGUACGCGCUUCUCGACGAGGGUGGAUUACUGCCAGAUAGCGGCGGUGUCGUGGAGAAUGAUGUUGUGGUCGGCGAUGGCACCUGCGUGAACAGCGGGGUGCAUCAACAUCAUCAGCAACAUUUCCAACGUCACCGUUACUAUCGAGAACAGCCGCAGCUAGGGGAUCACCGGCAACAAUACCAGCAACGACAGGAGGAGGAGCUGGAGGAUCUGCUGUGCUUUCGUGGACCAUCGGCUCAGGAGAUGGUGGCCCAAGAAAUGGCACAAAGUUACACGCAGCUCCUUCAUCCCAGUCAGGAGCCGCAGGAGUUUAUCUCCUUGGAGGAACUACAGCCGCGUAUUCACCAAGAAAAUCAUGAUACCCGCGGCCAAGUCGUCACCGGAAUGUCAUCCACUGGUGCCCAACUCUAUCAUCAGCAUCAACCUCCGCGCUGUUACUAUAGUCUCUCGGCCGUUCAAGAAAAUACCUGUUCCACGGUUUACUUCGGCGACAUAGGGGCGGCCUCUGGCGUGGGCGAGGUAUCUGCGGUCCCGGCGGGGGGUGGCGAUGGUCUCAGCCUGACUCCAACCCCCGCCACCAACGAAACAGCCACCACCACCCCGAACACGACCUGCGCUACCACCGUUACCAUCACCACUACCAGCACGAUCGCACCAGCCACUGGGAACGAUAACAGCAACCAGGGGGUCGUAACGGGGGCAGAACCGCCCCAGCCUAUGGAGACACCCCCGACCAUGGUACCCGACCAGGCACCCGCCUCCGGCCAUCAUCAUUACCAUCACCGUCACCAUCAUCAUCAUCAUCAUCACAACCACCAUCAUCGUCAUAAUCAACAGCGUAGCGCCUCCACGACACCGAGCCAUGGUCCGGCCAAUACGGACACUUCCGAUGAGUUCGCGCCGAUUCCAAGGAAGCGGAAGCUCUCUUGCCAUGACGGUAGUGAUUUAUUAGACGACGCGGGAGACGAUGCCAAAUCCGUUCGCACAAACGACGAUAGUAAAAAACAAAAUCACAGCGAGAUCGAGAAAAGAAGAAGGGACAAAAUGAACACCUACAUCACGGAGUUAUCGGCGAUGAUACCGAUGUGCCACGCGAUGUCCCGGAAAUUGGACAAGCUGACAGUGCUCAGAAUGGCAGUCCAACACCUUAAGACUAUCCUCGGAGCUGUGACCUCAUACACGGAGGGUCACUACAAACCGGCAUUUCUCAGCGACCAAGAGCUGAAAACGCUAAUUCUUCAGGCCGCGGAGGGUUUUGUCUUCGUGGUGGGCUGCGAUCGCGGGAGGAUCCUCUACGUGUCCGAGUCCGUUCUUCAGACACUCAAUUAUUCUCAGGGUGAUCUAUUGGGUCAAAGUUGGUUCGAUAUUCUGCAUCCGAAAGAUGUCGCCAAGGUAAAAGAACAGCUAUCCUCCUCAGAUUUGAGCCCACGCGAACGACUAAUAGACGCAAAAACGAUGCUACCAGUGAAAACAGACGUGCCCCAAGGUGUUUCAAGACUUUGCCCAGGAGCGCGAAGGUCAUUUUUCUGCAGAAUGAAGCGAAAAGUGGAGAGCGGUCGUUGCAACGAGCUACAGGUGAAAGAAGAAGCUGAUACCACCAGCGGCUGUCAUCGACGAAAAAAACAACAGAAUAUUGAUUGGAAGUACUGCGUGAUUCAAUGCACUGGCUACCUGAAGUCGUGGGCGCCCGCGAAAAUCGAUCUUGAAGAAUCGGAAGGUGACGGCGACGGCGACGCGUGCAAUUUGUCAUGCUUGGUGGCAGUCGGUCGGCUGCAAUCGACAAUACCUACAUCCUUGCCGAAGAAACCACGAUUGAAACCCAUCAAAUUUGUCUCACGGCAUGCGAUGGAUGGAAAAUUUCUUUUUGUCGACCAAAGGGCAACACUGGUAUUGGGUUUUCUACCGCAAGAGCUACUGGGCACAAGCAUGUACGAAUACUAUCACCACGACGACAUUCCCCAUCUCGCUGAAUCUCAUAAAGCAGCUCUUCAGGCCUCGGACUGCGUCACCACGCAGAUAUACAGGUUCCGGUGUAAGGGUGCGAAUUUCGUGAGGUUACAGUCCGAAUGGAAGUCCUUUCGAAAUCCGUGGACCAAAGACAUCGAGUAUCUGAUAGCUAAGAAUUCCGUUACUUCUUGUGACUCUCGGUCAGCCACAAACAGCGGAACUAGAUCCGAAGACUCCAGCGUUCAGGGGAAUUAUGACUAUUUCACACAAAGUAAUGGUGGAUUAGAAAGAUUGAUCUCAAGUCAUAUAGAGGUAAGUAAAAUCGGCCGGCAAAUAGCGGAAGAGGUUUUGGACCUUCAAAGACGCGGGGAGGACUCCUCUUCUGGCAGUAGUCCUGGCCCAGGCCCAGAAACUUCUUUAUUGAAUACCGAGUCACAGAUCACCACAACGGCUUCGCCAGAGAGACUUCAGGAUAUGACGCAAGCAACUAGAGGCAGCAGUGACAGCAGCAGCAAUCUCACAUCAACGUACAACCACAUAGCAAACAACAUGCAGCUGAACAGCAUCGCGAACGACCAAGGUCAUAGCUAUUACUGUCUCUAAGGAGUCGUUUCUUGGUGUGUAGUGCGAUCGCCGGAUUUACCAAAAAACGAUUAGGUCGCACAGAGAAAGCUUAGGUCCAUCUAAAUCCGAUACGCUGCUUUUUUCUCUAAGUGGGCAAGAGCGAAGGAAUUCUGGUCUUAUGUGUGGGAAUACAUAUAUAAAAUUGCUCUUCCAUCUCUUGCCAUACAUAAGGAGCCCUAUCUAAGACCGACUACGUAAAUAUGUAAUAUUAAUUACUAUAAUGUAUUACUUUUAUUCUUAAUGAUACGAAAAGUGUUUCAAGCGUAGUUUCAAUAGCUUCAAAGGAAAAGUAUCGUGAAUAGUAAGUUUUUUAUAAAUGCUUUUUAAAAUUCUUUUGUAAAUCGCCAAUAUUUUUGUGUCAGAAACCACUUACUGAUUUAUAAUCUUGGAGUGACGUCGAACAUUAAGAAGCUGAAAUAAUGUUAGGAUAAAUUUAUUUUCUGAAAAACGAACGUACAAGGUGAUAUCUUUUAGCGGCGAUGCUAUCGCUUAAAAUGAGAAAUUGCAGAUUGCGAUGUUCCUUUAUCACAGAAAAUUCUCGCUGAUCAAGAUAAAUAGACGAAAAUCAUGAACAACAAAUAUUUCGCGUGACAUUUUAAGUAUUUGUUAAUUCUCGCCUGCAAUUGGCUACGCAUUUUAUAACUUUUACUAUUUACGCAUCGUCAAAAGCCAGUACAAGUUCCACAUCAUACACAGUAGUAUCAAUUUAGAACAAAAUGGAAAAAUAUUUUUCAUGACGAUAACAAAAUGAUGGAACCUUAUUUUGCUGGCAGAAUACUAAGUGAACAAGAAUAUGCAAGGAUUUUAUCAGAUUGCCUAAAUCAAUUGAAGAACAAUAUAUCAACAAGUGUUUGUCAGAUUAUGUCAUACGAAAUAAAAAAUUUCGAAAUUAUUAGAUCGGCUAUAAUGGCUGUCUAUUAUUAUAUUAAUGGCUUCAACAAGUUAAUCUGAUAUAAUUACACUUCUAUUCCUGGAAAAAAUAAAUAAAGACAUGUAGCACUGUAACCCAUCAGUGCAGAAAUAAUGAAAAAUCAAGAAAAGAAAUAAAAAAAGAAAUAAAGAAAAGAAGUAAAAAGUAUUUCUAUUUACGAUACUCUUCUUCUGAAUUUAUUCAAAUUAAAUUUGAAAUACUUUUCAUAUCAUUAAAAAUAAAAAACAAUUUAAGUACUCUGUCUUAGGUGAAGCAACCUAUAUUUCCUCGGGUAAAAUACAUUUAAUCGAAUAAAUUCAAAAUCUGUUAUAUAGCAAAAUUAUUCAUAUAAUAAUAAUGGUCAUAGAAUAAAAUAAUUGUCUUUACAGAAAUAAAAUAUUAUUAUAAAAAUAAAUAUUUCUGUUUAUUUACAAAACACAAAAGAAAAAACUUGGACAUUCAUUCGAAGAAGCAAUCAAUCAUUUUUAGAUCUUAAGAAGUUACAUACAUAUGUCGUUUGACCGACAAAUUUUAUUCAAAAUUCGGACGAUUAUAUAGAAAAUAAUUCUAACAUUAACAGUAUUUUACAGAGCGGUGCUUUUAAAAAAUACAGUACCAAAGAUAUCUCUGCAUCCUCUGAUCUGAACCAAAAAGCAAUCACUUUUUGUUAAAUUAAACGAAUAUAACUAGUUCUUGUCAUAGUCGAGUUUAAAAAUAUUAAUUUCUCGCAAAACAAUAGGCAUUGCAAAAGCAACCGUAGAUAAACAUUCUAUUUGUAUUGCAAGUAUUUGUAAAAAAUUUGAUACAAAUCUCUAAAUAAGCAACUUUUUUUUUAGUUUUCAUUGACUUAUAUAUUUCAAAUAAAUGCGAACGUUUUUAUAGAACUGUUGUAUUAUAAUAAUAUUAUUUUCAUCGGGCGAAUCUCUGCAACAAAUUCCUGAUAAUAUCAAUUGGUGGUUCCAGUAAUCAUUCUACCUUUGAGUAAGUUCAUUUUAAAAAGGAAACCUCAGCGAAUCACCUGAAAUCUUUUUUAAUCAGAUUAGAGGGUGGGAACAUAAUACUUCAAAUUUAAAAUCUAUUUUAACAUAUUUUGCUAUAUAUUUACGAUAUAAAUAAAUUUUACCACAUAUAUGUAUAGAGCGUUGUUUUAGCUUGGCAAUAAUUAUAAAUUUAAUCAAAGUAGAACGGAAAUAUCAACGAUCAAACGACAGUAUGUUCGCUUAUUCCGAUUAAUUCUUUAAAACUUGAACAUUCAAUAUCUUGCGAACUAUUUACUGUAAAGACUACAAGUUUGCAAAUCUUAUUUUCUCAAAGAGCAUAAGAAGACUUGUGACUUUGAAAAAAAGGUGAACAUAAAAGCCCGAACUAUUUACGCCUUGUCUAUUUGUUUUACGUUGAAAUCUGCAUCGCGCAUUCAACAAGUCUUAAACGUCUACUACCUUUUUUGACGCUCGACUGAUCAGCAGUAAAUCUUAUAUUGAUUUGCGUUACCCAUACUUUUUCAAUAAAGUAAAAAACUCUUUAUUAAAUAAGCGAUCGAUGGUAUUGUCCUAACUUUAAAUCCUGUUAGAUCCCAAUAGACUUUUAAAUUUUCAUUGUUCUUCGAAUUUUAUGUUCCAUCGUUAUGUUCCACUAAAAUAACUACCAAGAUAUUCAUAAAUAAAUAAUUUAUAAUUCUGCUUGUAAUAUAUUUACAAUCAAGAUUUCUAUUAAUUAUUUUUGCAUCUUUAAUGAAACUUUGAAAUAAAAUUCUCCAAAAAUAUUAUUAUUAAAAGCAAACGUAAUUAAAAAACUAUUUUUAUAACUCAAUCAAACAUAUAAUCCCCUUGUGAAAAUGUAUCAUCUCCUUCGAUCAAAAUAUUGGAAGUACUGAAUAUUUAUCUACUUUUUUCUAAUUUUCAUAUUGUAUUAAAUACUACACCAGUUUAUUAAAGAGACAAGAAGGUUUACUAUUUUGUCAAUAGUUCUUUUAAAUAUUGUUCAUUCUUCUAUUUCUUUAAUACACAGGAUAUUUCAGCACAAGAAAAAUUCCUAAGUAUCUUCUCCACUUUAAGAACAUUAGAUAUUCAAUGAACAAUUUAGAUGAUAUUAAAGGAAAAAUAACAUAAAAAAAAUGUCUAAUAAUCAUUUUCAAAAUUUUUUUCAAGACCACUGAUUCUUUCGUGCAGCAAUACCAAUAAUGUUCUGUUUCUUGUACUAUAUCUUAAGGAUAAGAGUAUAAUUCAUGUUUGGCAGAUGAUAUUAUGAUGACUUUGAGUAUCCUACUAGUAAGAAGGAGCCUCACCAGAUGAAGAUAUGAUGGACAUGAUUGGUGGCACAACUAUAAAUGAAUCACCGAACCCAGUCCCCUCAGAUGGCAACGAUGAAGCAGCGAUGGCCGUAAUAAUGAGUCUCCUAGAAGCUGAUGCUGGCUUGGGUGGU